rnacentral:ncRNA from 1 species
AUAAAGUUUGAUUUUGGUUUUUAUAUUCGUUUUAUAAAUUUUUUGCAUGUAAAUUUUUGUAUGAAUUUAAUUUUAUUUAAAAAGUAAUGUUAUUAAGUUUUAAUUGCAGCAUUUAAUUUUAAUAAUUAAAUAAAUUUAGAAUUAUAAUUUAUAAGUAAAAUAGGUAAUUAAUGUGCCAGCAACUGCGGUUACACAUUUUAUUUAAGUGAAUAUUAUUUAAUUUAAAGUUUUUAAUUUAUUAAUUUAUAAAUUAAAUAGUAAAAUUUAAGUGAAAUUUUUUUUUAUUAAAAAAUUAUUAAAAAUUUUUUUAAGAACUUGUAAAUCUUAAUAAUAAACUAGGAUUAGAUACCCUAUUAUUUAAGACUUAAAAUAUUUUAAAAGAUUAAUAGGUAUGAUCUUAAAAUUUAAAAGAAUUGGCGGUAUUUAAAUCUAAUUAGGGGAAUUUGCUUUUAAAAUGAUAAUCCUCAAGUAACCUUACUUUAAUUUAUUUAAUUUAUUUAUUGUCGUUAACAGAAUAUUUUUUAAGAAUAAAAAUUUUCUAAUUUUUAAAAUUAAUUAAAGAUAUUUCAGAUCAUUAUGUAGUUUAUAUUAAAGUUAAAGUGAAUUACAAUAAAUUUUAUUUAUAAUGGAAAUUAAUUUGAAAUAAUUAAUAGAAAGUGGACUUAAUAGUAAAUUAAAAAUAAUUAUAUUUAAUUGAAUUUAGAUCUAAAUAUGUACAAAUUGCCCGUCGCUCUCAUUUUAAAAUGAGAUAAGUCGUAACAAAGUAGAGAUACUGGAAAGUGUUUCUAGAAGAUAAAUUAUUAU